rnacentral:piRNA from 1 species
CAAGAUUUUUCUGCUGAUUGU